rnacentral:rRNA from 1 species
AUUGAACGCUGGCGGCAUGCCUUACACAUGCAAGUCGAACGGCAGCACGGGUGCUUGCACCUGGUGGCGAGUGGCGAACGGGUGAGUAAUAUAUCGGAACGUACCUUAUUGUGGGGGAUAACGCAGCGAAAGCUGUGCUAAUACCGCAUAAUCCCUAAGGGGGAAAGCGGGGGACCGUAAGGCCUCGCGCAAUUAGAGCGGCCGAUACCUGAUUAGCUAGUUGGUGAGGUAAAGGCUCACCAAGGCAACGAUCAGUAGCUGGUCGGAGAGGACGAUCAGCCACACUGGGACUUAGACACGGCCCAGACUCCUACGGGAGGAAGCAGUGGGGAAUUUUGGACAAUGGGGGCAACCCUGAUCCAGCAAUGCCGCGUGAGUGAAGAAGGCCUUCGGGUUGUAAAGCUCUUUUGUCAGGGAAGAAACAGCAGCUCUAACACAGUAUGCGAAUGACGGUACCUGAAGAAUAAGCACCGGCUAACUACGUGCCAGCCGCCGCCGUAA